rnacentral:rRNA from 1 species
CCUACGGGUGGCAGCAGUGGGGAAUAUUGGACAAUGGGCGAAAGCCUGAUCCAGCCAUGCCGCGUGUGUGAAGAAGGCCUUCGGGUUGUAAAGCACUUUCAGUGGGGAAGAAAGCCUUGGGGCUAAUACCCUCGAGGAAGGACAUCACCCACAGAAGAAGCACCGGCUAACUCCGUGCCAGCAGCCGCGGUAAUACGGAGGGUGCGAGCGUUAAUCGGAAUUACUGGGCGUAAAGCGCGAGUAGGCGGUCUGAUAAGCCGGUUGUGAAAGCCCCGGGCUCAACCUGGGAACGGCAUCCGGAACUGUCAGGCUAGAGUGCAGGAGAGGAAGGUAGAAUUCCCGGUGUAGCGGUGAAAUGCGUAGAGAUCGGGAGGAAUACCAGUGGCGAAGGCGGCCUUCUGGACUGGCACUGACGCUGAGGUGCGAAAGCGUGGGUAGCAAACAGGAUUAGAUACCCUAGUAGUC